UUAAUUGAAGAGUUUGAUCAUGGCUCAGAUUGAACGCUGGCGGCAGGCCUAACACAUGCAAGUCGAGCGGCAGCGACUUAACUGAACCUUCGGGGAACGUUAAGGGCGGCG
rnacentral:rRNA from 1 species